rnacentral:rRNA from 1 species
UACAGAGGUCCCGAGCGUUGUUCGGAUUCACUGGGCGUAAAGGGUGCGUAGGUGGUGAGGUAAGUCGGAUGUGAAAUCUCCGGGCUCAACCCGGAAAUGGCAUUGGAAACUACCUUGCUGGAGGAUUUGAGGGGGGAUUGGAAUACUUGGUGUAGCAGUGAAAUGCGUAGAUAUCAAGUGGAACACCGGUGGCGAAGGCGGCAUCCUGGACCGAUACUGACGCUGAGGAGCGAAAGCCAGGGGAGCAAACGGG